AAUAUUGGACAAUGGGCGAAAGCCUGAUCCAGCCAUGCCGCGUGUGUGAAGAAGGUCUUCGGAUUGUAAAUCACAUUAAGUUGGGAGGAAGGGUUGUCGAAUAAUACUCUGCAAUUUUGUCGUUACCAAAAGAAUAAGCACCGGCUAACUUCGUGCCAGCAGCCGCGGUAAUACGAAGGGUGCAAGCGUUAAUCGGAAUUACUGGGAGUAAAGCGCGCGUAGGUGGUUCGUUAAGUUGGAAGUGAAAGCCCCGGGCUCAACCUGGGAAUUGCUUGCAAAACUGGCGAGCUAGAGUACGGUAGAGGGUGGUGGAAUUUCCUGUGUAGCGGUGAAAUGCGUAGAUAUAGGAAGGAACAUCAGUGGCGAAGGCGACCACCUGGACUGAUACUGACACUGAGGUGCGAAAGCGUGGGGAGCAAACAGG
rnacentral:rRNA from 1 species